UAAACGUGUGAAUUUCUGAUUGCAGUUAAACUAGGACCACGAUUUACAAACUAAAAGGGACAGUUUGGAAUGAGUAGCUUACCUCAAAACUCUGAAGCGACUCAGUUUCCACUGGAGCAAUCGACAAUUCAAACAUGACGUGCUUCACUGGUGGAGAGAUGGGCAGCUCAACCAUGAUGGGUUUCACUGGUGGAGAGAUGGGCAGCUCAACCACAACAGGCUUCACUGGUGGAGAGAUGGGCAGCUCAACAGCGAUGGGCUCCACUGGUGGAGAGAUAGGCAGCUCAACCACGAUGGGCUUCACUGGUGGAGAGAAGGGCAGCUCAACCAUGAUGGGUUUCACUGGUGGAGAGAUGGGCAGCUCAACCAUGAUGGGUUUCACUGGUGGAGAGAUGGGCAGAUCAACCUUGAUGGGUUUCACUGGUGUAGAGUUGGGCAGCUCCAUCACGAUGGGCUUCACUGGUGGAGAGAUGGGCAGCUCAACCACAAUGGGCUCCACUGGUGGAGAGAUGGGCCGUUCAAUCACAAUGGGAUUAGGUGGUGGGGAGAUGGGCAGCUCAACCACAAUGGGCUCCACUGGUGGAGAGAUGGGCAGCUCCACCACGAUUGGCUUCACUGGUCGAGAGAUGGGCUCCUCAACCACGAUGGACUCCACUGGAGGUGGAGGGAAGAAAUCCUGGGCCCUUUGACAUCUCUGAGUUGUAGGUGGUGGGGAAUAAUCCGAUAGGGAGGGAGGAGGAAGAGUAGUUCUGGCCUGUGGAACUGAAGUUUCCAUGUCUUUCUUUCUUUUUUUAUGACGCUGUGUCAGAGCCUUCAGUGGCUUAUGUUUUGUCAGUGGUUGGUCAAAUUGGAAAAGGACAUAAACAAAUCAAAUUGUAUUCGUCACAUACGCCGAAUACAAGUGUAGACCUUACCAUGAAAUGCAUACUCACAAGCCCUUAACCAACAAUGAAGUUUUAAGAAAUUAGGAAUCAAGAAAAUAUUUACUAAAUAAGCUAAAGUUUUCUACGAAGCAUAUGUAAACGUGUGAAUUGCUGAUUGUAGUUAAACUAGGACAAUGAUUUACAUUUUAAAGGGACAGUUUGGAGUGAGUCGCCUACCUCAAAUCUCUGAAGAGACUCAGCUUCCACUGGAGCGAUCGGCAGCUCAAACAUGAUGGGUUUCACUGGUGGAGAGAUGGGCAGCUCAACCACAACAGGCUUCACUGGUGGAGAGAUGGGCAGCUCAACCAUGAUGGGCUCCACUGGUGGAGAGAAGGGCCGUUCAACCACGACAGGCUUCACUGGUGGAGAGAUGGGCAGCUCAACCAUGAUGGGCUUCAAUGGUGGAUAAAUGGGCAGCUCAACCACGAAGGGUUUCACUGCUGGAGAGUUGGACAGCUCCACCACGAUGGGCUUCACUGGUCGAGAGAUGGGCUCCUCAACCAAGAUUGGCUUCACUGGAGGAGAGAUCGUUGGCUCAACAACGAUGGGCUUCACUGGUGGAGAGAUGGGAAGCUCGACCACGAUGGGCUUCACGGGUGGAGAGACGGGCUGCUCAACCAUGAUAGGUUUCACUGGUGGAGAGAUGGGCAGCUCAACCACAAUGGGCUUCACUGGUGGAGAAAUGGGCAGCUCAACCACAACGGGCUUCAGUGGUGGAGGGAUCGGCGACUCAACCACGAUGGGCUUCGCUGGUGGAGAGAUGGGAAGCUCGACCAUGAUGGGCUUCGCUGGUGGAGAGAUGGGCUAUAUAUAGUGGUAUAGAACAGAAGGUUAGUUAAAAAACAACACAAAUCAAUUACAAUGUAAUUGACGCAUGGCCUAAAAUAUACCUGUUUGCUUACUUAUGAAAAUGCAAACCAUAAUAAUCAUCCUCUCCCUCAUCAUCCAUCCUGACUCAUGCUCUCUCAUCUAAAGAAGAAACGUACCUGUGCCCUACUCUGUGUGCACAAAAGGGUAACAAAGUACCACAUGAAGAACUUAGAUUGGUACUCCUGACACUUCUGCCAUGCAACCUCAAUCAUCUCCUCAAGAGUCCCAAUGCUACAGGAGAGGAAACACACCAGGUUGUUUAGAAUGGGUGGAAGGAGCCUUCACACCGUGCAUACGAAAAAGUAUUUCGAUUUCAGACCUGAACUCAAUCUAGGUACUCUGGGUAAUAGAGGUAAUCUGAAACUCCAUUACAUUGGUCCAAUAUCUCAAUCAACUUCACUGUAAUUAUAGCACUCCAAAUACCAACAUGAAUGUAUCUGGUGGACAGUGUAGCUGUGCAGAUGUCAAUGCUGUACUAAUAAACAAAGUACUUACUUUGCAAGAGGACCAGGGAAUGCUGUGAGGACUCCAGGCUGCUCCUGUGGGAUCUGCUGAGGGAGAUCAGAGGAAGCAGGGAAGAGGAGAUGGACAGGAGCAUCGACAAUCUGAGAAGAACCAGCCUCUAUUUCCCAGUUGGCCCCUUGACCAGGUUGAUCCUGUUGGUUCACUGGUGGAGAGAUGGGAUGGUCGACCAAGAUAGGCUUCACUGGUGGAGAGAUGGGCCGUUCAACCACGACGGGUUUCACUGGUGGAGAGAUUGGCAGCUCAACCAUUAUGGGCUUCACUAGUGGGGAGAUGGGAUGGUCGACCACGAUGGGCUUCACUGGUGGAGAGAUGGGCCGUUCAACCACAAUGGGAUUAGGUGGUGGAGAGAUGGGCAGCUCAACCACAAUGGGCUUCACUGGUCGAGAGAGGGGCUCCUCAACCACGAUGGAAUCCACUGGAGGUGGAGGGAAGAAAUCCUGGGCCCUUUGACAUCUCUGAGUUGUAGGUGGUGGGGAAUAAUCCGAUAGGGAGGGAGGAGGAAGAGUAGUUCUUGCCUGUGGAACUGAAGUUUCCAUGUCUUUCUUUCUUUUUUUAUGACGCUGUGUCAGAGCCUUCAGUGGCUUAUGUUUUGUCAGUGGUUGGUCAAAUUGGAAAAGGACAUAAACAAAUCAAAUUGUAUUCGUCACAUACGCCGAAUACAAGUGUAGACCUUACCAUGAAAUGCAUACUCACAAGCCCUUAACCAACAAUGAAGUUUUAAGAAAUUAUGAAUCAAGAAAAUAUUUACUAAAUAAGCUAAAGUUUUCUACAAAGCAUAUGUAAACGUGUGAAUUGCUGAUUGUAGUUAAACUAGGACAAUGAUUUACAUUUUAAAGGGACAGUUUGGAGUGAGUCGCCUACCUCAAAUCUCUGAAGAGACUCAGCUUCCACUGGAGCGAUCGGCAGCUCAAACAUGAUGGGUUUCACUGGUGGAGAGAUGGGCAGCUCAACCAUGAUGGGCUCCACUGGUGGAGAGAAGGGCCGUUCAACCACGACAGGCUUCACUGGUGGAGAGGUAGGCGGCUCAACCAUGAUGGGUUUCACUGGUGGAGAGAUGGGCAGCUCAACCAUGAUGGGCUUCAAUGGUGGAUAAAUGGGCAGCUCAACCACGAAGGGUUUCACUGCUGGAGAGUUGGACAGCUCCACCACGAUGGGCUUCACUGGUCGAGAGAUGGGCUCCUCAACCAAGAUUGGCUUCACUAGAGGAGAGAUCGUUGGCUCAACAACGAUGGGCUUCACUGGUGGAGAGAUGGGAAGCUCGACCACGAUGGGCUUCACGGGUGGAGAGACGGGCUGCUCAACCAUGAUAGGUUUCACUGGUGGAGAGAUGGGCAGCUCAACCACAAUGGGCUUCACUGGUGGAGAAAUGGGCAGCUCAACCACAACGGGCUUCAGUGGUGGAGGGAUCGGCGACUCAACCACAACAGGCUUCACUGGUGGAGAGAUGGGCAGCUCAACCACAACAGGCUUCACUGGUGGAGAGAUGGGCAGCUCAACCAUGAUGGGCUCCACUGGUGGAGAGAAGGGCCGUUCAACCACGACAGGCUUCACUGGUGGAGAGGUAGGCGGCUCAACCAUGAUGGGUUUCACUGGUGGAGAGAUGGGCAGCUCAACCAUGAUGGGCUUCACUGGUGGAUAAAUGGGCAGCUCAACCACGAAGGGUUUCACUGGUGGAGAGUUGGACAGCUCCACCACGAUGGGCUUCACUGGUCGAGAGAUGGGCUCCUCAACCAAGAUUGGCUUCAAUGGAGGAGAGAUCGGUGGCUCAACCACGAUGGGCUUCACUGGUGGAGAGAUGGGAAACUCGACCACGAUGGGCUUCACGGGUGGAGAGACGGGCUGCUCAACCACGAUAGGUUUCACUGGUGGAGAGAUGGGCAGCUCAACCACAACGGGCUUCAGUGGUGGAGGGAUCGGCGACUCAACCACGAUGGGCUUCGCUGGUGGAGAGAUGGGAAGCUCGACCACGAUGGGCUUCGCUGGUGGAGAGAUGGGCUAUAUAUAGUGGUAUAGAACAGAAGGUUAGUUAAAAAACAACACAAAUCAAUUACAAUGUAAUUGACGCAUGGCCUAAAAUAUACCUGUUUGCUUACUUAUGAAAAUGCAAACCAUAAUAAUCAUCCUCUCCCUCAUCAUCCAUCCUGACUCAUGCUCUCUCAUCUAAAGAAGAAACGUACCUGUGCCCUACUCUGUGUGCACAAAAGGGUAACACAGUACCACAUGAAGAACAUAGAUUGGUACUCCUGACACUUCUGCCAUGCAACCUCAAUCAUCUCCUCAAGAGUCCCAAUGCUACAGGAGAGGAAACACACCAGGUUGUUUAGAAUGGGUGGAAGGAGGCUUCACACCGUGGAUACGAAACAGUCUUUCGAUUUCAGAACUGAACUCAAUCUAGGUACUCUGGGUAAUACAGGUAAUCUGAAACUCCAUUGCAUUGGUCCAAUAUCUCAAUCAACUUCACUGUAAUUAUAGCACUCCAAAUCCCAACAUGAAUGUAUCUGGUUGACAGUGUAGCUGUGCAGAUGCCAUUGCUGUACUAAUAAACCAAGUACUUACUUUGACAGGGGACCAGGGAAUGCUGUGAGGACUCCAGGCUGCUCUGGUUGGAUCUGCUGAGGGAGAUCAGAGGAAGUAGGGAAGGGGUGAUGGGCAGGAGCAUCGACAAUCUGAGAAGAACCAGCCUCUAUUUCCCAGUUGGCCCCUUGACCAGGUUGAUGCUGGUGGUUGUAACAGUCCUUCCCGUUCUCAUACUUGUACGCAUACUCAUAUUUGUACUCAUUGUUGUUUAGGGACCACCUCUCUGUAAAAAGAAUAAGAGCAGAAGCUUGAUCCUCUCAU
rnacentral:lncRNA from 1 species